rnacentral:rRNA from 1 species
UACGUAGGGGGCUAGCGUUGUCCGGAAUCAUUGGGCGUAAAGCGCGUGUAGGCGGUCCCAUAAGUCCGCUGUGAAAGUCGAAGGCUCAACCUUCGAAAGCCGGUGGAUACUGUGGGACUAGAGUACGGAAGAGGCGAGUGGAAUUCCUGGUGUAGCGGUGGAAUGCGCAGAUAUCAGGAAGAACACCAAUGGCGAAGGCAGCUCUCUGGGACGGUACUGACGCUGAGACGCGAAAGCGUGGGGAGCGAACAGG